CAGGGUUUCGCACCGGACCGGAUGAGACGCAGACUGUGGGGUAAAAUGGCCGCUGCGCUGCACUUUGCGAGGUUUUCUGCGGUUUUAAGGCGGAACGCGGCGGUUUCUCUCCGCGGCAGCGGCUCCGGAAGCCCCGGGGGGACGGUGUCUCAAAGCCGGGGCGCAGUCUGCACCAACAGCGGGGCUCUGCUCCCCAAACCCAGAAAGACUCCAUUUGGACUGAUACGGAUCUGCAUGGUGGUGGUUCCUUUUCUAUAUGUGGGAACGCUGAUCAGCAAAAACUUUGCUGCCCUGCUGGAGGAGCAUGACAUCUUCGUUCCUGAGGAUGAUGACGAUGAUGACUGAGCCCGGGUGAGUGAGACUGAGCAGAGCAAACAACUUCCAGGGACCUUCAGAAACUAAACAGAGGUGACAGAGGUGAAGAUGCUGCUAAUGGAGGAAGCGGGGGUGUCCGAUAUCUCAAACAGUGCUUUAGAGUCUCUCUCUGCAGUGUGUGUGAGCGUGCGUGUGCAUGUGUGUGUGAGUGGGUGCGUGAGUGUAUUUAUCAGAGCUGUGCUCUCCUACUGUCUGCAUGAAUCAUGAAUAAAGUUCACACUGGAGAAAA